UGCAGCUCCAGGCCUCUGGGGUUUCAUCCAAGCUGCUCUUUGAAGGCCACACUGUGUCAAAGCCUUUGUUGAUGCCAGGGACACAGCCCACCACAGGCCAUGCCCAAAGGCCAGAGUCAGAGCACAAUUUUGAAGAUUACAGAAAACUCCAAAGAGAUUGAAGAGAUGGAAUAAAGGAUCCCAGCCCCCGAAAAGAGAAAGCUUUGUGUCUGUAGCCAUAGCCCUCGGCAAUCAGACAUCCUCCUCACUAAUGUGAGGUCAGGAGGGGACUAGAAGUGCUCAGAGGAUGGACUGCCUCUGGCCAGUGCAGGGGAGAGGCAGGGGUGUUGAGGCACAGGAGCCAGAUGAGAGGAACGUCAGCAGCAAAGCAGUAAGAAGAACAUGAGAGUUUCUUGAUAGUAAUAGAACUUCCUACACAGACUGGGAACCGGGUUGUAGCUUGAGGGGAUGUGACAACAUAGUGGCCCGGAAUUUUCACUUUGGAAAUUAACUGCUUUGGACCAGGAAGAAGCGCUGAGCCUAGAAAGGCAGGAGGCACAGGACUGUGUGGGCUUCUGUCUGGCAGGGACCUAUGAGCUUCAUAGGGCGAAUGAAUCAGGGGGCAGGAUAAAGCAGAGGCCUCCACCCUCACAGUGCUCUUAGCCAUCUCAGGCUUCCCGGAACACUGCUACCAGGCUGCCUGCUGGAGCCCUUUACACUCACAGGCCUUCCUGCUUGGGUUCUCUUCUGCAGGCUGCGUAAACCAGUCCUGUUGUAGUCCUUGUAGCAUCUGCUGUAGUGAUCUGGUUUGGGUUUCAGUAUUCCUUGCAAUGGUUUGGAAGGAAAUGGGAAGUUCUAACUACAUUUUCUUUUUGAUUCAAGAACCCUAGCAGUUCUACAACCACUGGGCCUAAAACUAAAAUAAAGGAAAAAUAAAUAAAAGGAAGCAAAAACAUCUAACUGGUAUGGCCUGGCAGCAUUGCCAGAGAGAGUCCUCAGGGGCCCAUGCUUGUUCUGUCUUUUGCUCUGCCAUCCCUAGGAUGGACAGCACGGAAGAGGCAGUACAUCUUAACAAAAUCAGGGUUCUGGAUGAAGGGGGGGUGGUGAAUGGUUGCUGCAAUCAACAGUUCAUACUUCAAUGGAAAGAAGGUGGGAUUUGAUUCCUGGUUGCAAAUCUUCACUCUGUCACCUGCUAUCUGUGUGCCCUCAGAGGCUAAGAAUGCCUAACUUUCUGGGAAUUCAGUCCAGCAAGUCUCAGCCUCAUUCUCCUAGCCCUCACUCAAAAUGGAGUCGCUCUGGUUCGAAUGCCUCUGACGAAACCAUCACCACAAUCAAGUCUCCCAUCAAGGAGUGAUGUCUGUUUCUCCACUUCUUGAAUCUGGGCUGGCCUUGCCAAUAGAAUAUGGCAGAAGUGACAUCGUUCCAUUUCUGAGUCAAAGCCUGAGGAGGCCUUGCAUGCUUCUACUCUCUCCUGCAACCCUGCACUGCCACAUAUCAACAAGACUUAUCAACAAGCCUGGGAUAGCCUGCUAGAUGAUGAAAGAUAUAUGGCCCGCUUGCUCCCAUCACUCCAGCUGAUAGCCAGGCAACCCUAAGAAGCAAAGUCACCUAGCUGAUUAGUAGCUGACCACUGACACAAAAGUAAGAUCAUCUGAGACCAGAAGACAGCCCAUCU
rnacentral:lncRNA from 1 species